GCCGCUCUCGUCUAAUUGGACUAGGACACAUCACUUUCGAUGAUGCUAAUACGGGUUCGAAUCCCGUGGGCGGUG
rnacentral:tRNA from 1 species